AUUUGACUCUCCUGUGAAGUACCACCCUUAUCUUUAUGUUGUUCCCUGUGAGUUAUCUAAAUUUAAAUCUUUACUUUCUGGAUUAGGUGUCAAGUUAACUUUUGAUGCAACUGAUUAUGUGCAUGUACUGCAACGCCUGCAACAUGAUGUCAAAGAAGAACCAUUAUCUGCUGAACAGUUAGGGUUUGUUCGUCGUGUUUUGGAAGCUUUUUCUGAUUGUUUUACUGAGAAGCAUGUACCUGAUGUGUUAAUAAACUCACUUCUCAUUCCUGAUUCAUUGGGGAUACUGAUGCCUGCUUUAGCUCUUGUCUACAAUGAUGCAGCAUGGAUGAAGAACAUUUCCCCUGGUGAGAAGCAUCUUGUGCAUCCAAGUAUCAAUGAUGAUCUUGCCAAAAUCCUUGGUGUUCAAUCACUACGGAACUUGUCAUUAGUUGAUGAGCAGACAACUAGGGACCUGCCAUGCAUUGAUUAUGCUAGCAUCUGCGAGCUGUUGGCAUUUAUGGUGAAAGUGACUUUGUACAUCUUUUAGAGUUGGCUGACAAAUGCAAAGCAAAGAAAUUGCACCAGAUAUAUGACAAACGGGAACAUCCUCGACAAUCUUUGCUCCAACAGAAUUUAGGUGACUUCCAGGCUGCUUCUUUGACAGUUGUUUUUGAAGGAACAACGUUAAGCAUGGAAGAAGUAUGCAGUCUGCACCUGCCUCCACCAUGGAAAGUUCAAGGCAGUGCUCUUUACUAUGGGCUGGGAAUGAUUAGUGGAUACUUCCUCUGUGACCUCAUGACUAUUGUUUCUGGAGGUUAUUUUUACAUUUUUGAUCCUCUUGGCUUGGCUCUAUCUGCACACUCAAAUGGUGCCCCUUCUGCAAGAUUAUUUUCUCUAAUAGUGUUAGUUACUUGGCCAUGCUGCUCUAGAUUUUGAAAAGGUGGUGCAGGAUCAUGUAUAUGAUUAUGAUAUUUUGCAAGGUGAACUGCUUUUGAUGCCAUUGCUUUCUCACUAGGAGCUCCUUUGCAGGGAAGUUAGCAGCCCGUGCAUGCAUCCAAGUAACGUAAAUAUGAUAAGGUUAUUUUUGUGUUCCUCACUAUCAUGGGAGAUAUUACUUGUCUGACCACAAAAUUUUGUAUUAAUACA